rnacentral:rRNA from 1 species
AGUGAACGCUGGCGGUAGGCCUAACACAUGCAAGUCGAACGGCAGCACAGUAAGAGCUUGCUCUUACGGGUGGCGAGUGGCGGACGGGUGAGGAAUACAUCGGAAUCUACUUUUUCGUGGGGGAUAACGUAGGGAAACUUACGCUAAUACCGCAUACGACCUACGGGUGAAAGCAGGGGAUCUUCGGACCUUGCGCGAUUGAAUGAGCCGAUGUGGAUUAGCUAGUUGGCGGGGUAAAGGCCCACCAAGGCGACGAUCCGUAGCUGGUCUGAGAGGAUGAUCAGCCACACUGGAACUGAGACACGGUCCAGACUCCUACGGGAGGCAGCAGUGGGGAAUAUUGGACAAAGGGCGCAAGCCUGAUCCAGCCAUACCGCGUGGGUGAAGAAGGCCUUCGGGUUGUAAAGCCCUUUUGUUGGGAAAGAAAAGCAGCAGGUUAAUACCCCGCUGUUCUGACGGUACCCAAAGAAUAAGCACCGGCUAACUUCGUG